CAAGACUGCUAGCAAGCAGCACCCUUUCUGCAGAAAGUAAACUAGCCUUGCUGAGAGAUCCUUUGUCUCAGUGUUGAUUUUUGCAACACUAAGCACCCGUUCCCAACAAUUUGGUGGCCCGUAGGGGAUUAACAUUCCCCUCUGGGACAGUCUUUGGUCCUCUCUCAUGGGGAGGUGCCCCACUGCCCAUUGUAGCAGCCCCUGGAGGACAGCCAGGACCUACCCGGAGCAAGGAAUAUAGUUGGAUUCUCAGCAACGCAGGGAAAGAGAGAGGCUUGCAGGACCACAGUGACCAGGUGACUCCAUGCACGGGCCAAGAUGUCUGUAGCAUGCGGCUUGUCACAUCUGCAAGGGAGCUGCCUGGAUUUGCCGGGGCCUGUUUUCUGAAAAAUGGACCACUUAAAAAGUACUUCUUACAGAUUCUUGAUAACCUGUUUCACAAUCCUAGGCAGUUGUCAGCUACAUAGCCUUAAAUUUGCAUACUAAAGGAAAUAAAGGUGAAAAUCAAAUAGAAAAAUUUACAU
rnacentral:lncRNA from 1 species